UGAAACAAAUUAAACAAAAGUAAAAACAAAGACAACAAUUAUUUUACUUUAGUUGCUCAGACUGAAUAUUAAUUAAUAUGUAUUAAGUAUGGAGAUGAAUGAGGGUGGAGAGUAUACCUGCAGCCCACAGGGAGCAGAUUCAGCAACUGUCAGAAUUGUUGUAUAUCAACUGGAUAAUACAAGAAGGUUUGACUACGGUGGAUCAGGAGCAAGAUGUAUCUCUAUCCUGGAUAUCUUGAUUUACAUUAUUAGUGCUGUCUGUACUAUAAACUAUAUCGAUAUAUUGCUCGAUUAAUAAAAUUGUAAACCCGUGAAUAAAUAAAACCAUUUUUUUAAA